rnacentral:ncRNA from 2 species
AUACGUCUUCGGGGCGGGGUGAAAUUCCCCACCGGCGGUAAAACCGGCAACGGUCAAGCCCGCGAGCGCUUGCUCACGCAAGGUCAGCAGAUCUGGUGCAAUUCCAGGGCCGACGGUCAUAGUCCGGAUGAAAGAAGAUGUGC